AUGUUCUUUGCGUUAGUCAUGCUGGACCAGGGGUGCUCGGCAUACAUGUGGGACAUGCUACGGAAGGAUAUUCAUGUGUUGGAUCUGAUGUGUGCCCAAGUUGUAGGGGGACAUCAACGCCGAAUGAUGCAUGAGGAAGCUGUGUCGCAGAUGCACAAUGCGUUGUUUUCAUGUUUAACUGAAUUCUUCGCAAAGUGGCAUUGUACGUCAGAUAGAUGGAAACGGAGGUUUCCCAGAAUAACGGAAGACAUUUUCACAAGGGAAGAGUCUAGUUUGUGUGCCAUUCAUGCGAUCCGUCAGUAUGACGGAGUAAAACUCAAGUGGCCCCUAAACAAGGGGGAGGUGCAAAGUUUCGCACAUAUGAUUAUGGUCUUCAAGACGACGCACAAUCUACCUGGCACACGAGUUUGUGAAAGUUCACUCGAUGAUCUGCUCGUACAUGAUGUUGGGGUAGUCACCAUGGUUGCCCUUGAGGGUCAGAACUUCAUAGGCCAUCUCCUUCCGAAGAGUUGCAGAGUGCUCCAACUGAAAGAUCCCUUGGUCGCCGUCUCGUGUACUGGACUAUAUCCUUCGUCACUUUAG
rnacentral:rRNA from 1 species